UACGGAAGGUGCAAGCGUUGCUCGGAAUCACUGGGCGUAAAGGGUGCGUAGGCGGCUUGGUAGGUCUGGUGUGAAAGCCCCGGGCUCAGCCCGGGAAGGGCACUAGAAACUGCCAAGCUAGAGUGCCGGAGGGGAGAGUGGAAUUCCUGGUGUAGCGGUGAAAUGCGUAGAGAUCAGGAGGAAUACCGGUGGCGAAAGCGACUCUCUGGACGGCAACUGACGCUGAGGCACGAAAGCGUGGGGAGCAAACAGG
rnacentral:rRNA from 1 species